UACGGAGGGUGCAAGCGUUAUCCGGAUUUACUGGGUUUAAAGGGUGUGUAGGCGGACUUCUAAGUCAGCGGUGAAAUCUCCGGGCUCAACCCGGAAACUGCCAUUGAUACUAUUGGUCUUGAAUGUUGUUGAGGUGGGCGGAACGGGUCAUGUAGCGGUGAAAUGCAUAGAUAUGACCCGGAACACCGAUUGCGAAGGCAGCCCACUAAGCAACGAUUGACGCUGAGGCACGAAAGCGUGGGGAUCAAACAGG
rnacentral:rRNA from 1 species